CAGCCCAGCUGAGUGCGAGAGAUGAGCAGAGCCAGAGCCCGAGCAGCAGGAAAUCACAGCCUGGCUGGAGCGCUGCAGAGAUGGUCUGAGUAAUUAUCAACGCCUGCAGGUAUGUGGCAGGAAAAAUUGGGAGCCUGUGUGGCCACAGAGAUGAGGAGCCCCUUCCCACCACAGGCCAUCCAGCUGAUCUCAGCCAGAACCAAAAUGUAAACACAGUGAUAGCAGAAGCCCCCCCUCGGGUGACGGACACAGUCACUAGGGACAAGGUGCUCGGCCCUGAACAGCCCUGCGGAUCCUGAGGGUAGAUGGCCUCAGGGCCCUCCUUGGAAGCCUUAGAUCUUCUUUCUCAGUGGCUCUAUGAGGAUCUUGGUCUGCUGGGGCUCCUGUUCCCCGGUGCUCCCAAAUGUGUGUUCACCAGUAAAUCCAUCUUGCAUUUGUUCUCUAUAGAUUUGUAUAACAAUAUGAAUUGUCUUUAUUAACCCCUUGCCACAAGGAUUUCCCAGCGUGAAAGACAAAUUAAGUCAGACACUCAGCACCUGCUAGAACUGCUGCCUGCAAAACUCACUCCAGGCUCUGUACCCGUCUCAGUCUAACAACAAACCAAAGUCGUCUUCAAUAGGUACAUAGGGCCAAAUUCUGGUCUCAUGUAUACUGGGGUAACUUCAGAGUAACUUCACUGAAGUUAAUAGAGUCAGAUCCUCAGCUGGUAUAAAUUAUUACUGCUCCAUUGACUGGAGCU